GGCUUUUUGAUAAUAAUUUAAAGUCUGGCCUGCCCACUGAGUAUUUAAAGGGCCGCGGUAAUUUGACCGUGCUAAGGUAGCAUAAUCAUUAGUUUUUUAAUUGAAAGCUGGUAUGAAUGGUCGGAUAAGAAAAUAACUGUCUCUAUUUAAUUUUAUUUGAAUUUUAUUUUUAAGUAAAAAAGCUUAAAUUAAAUUAAAAGACGAGAAGACCCUAUAGAGUUUUAUAAAAUUUUAAAUUUAAAUUUUUAGAAUUAUAAUUUUGUAUUUAAAAUUUUAUUUGAUUGGGGCGAUUGAAAAAUUUGAUAAACUUUUUUUAUAUAAGAACAUUAAUUUAUGAAUUUUUGAUCCAUUAAUGUAUGAUUAUAAGAUUAAAUUACCUUAGGGAUAACAGCGUAAUUUUUUUUGAGAGUUCAAAUCGAAAAAAAAGUUUGCGACCUCGAUGUUGGAUUAAAAUUAAUUUUUGGUGUAGAGGCUAAAAAAUUAGGUCUGUUCGACCUUUAAAAUUUUACAUGA
rnacentral:rRNA from 1 species